CGAAAGCCUGAUCCAGCAACGCCGCGUGAGGGAUGACGGCCUUCGGGUUGUAAACCUCUUUCAGCAGGGACGAAGCGAAAGUGACGGUACCUGCAGAAGAAGGACCGGCCAACUACGUGCCAGCAGCCGCGGUAAUACGUAGGGUCCGAGCGUUGUCCGGAAUUAUUGGGCGUAAAGGGCUCGUAGGCGGUUUGUCGCGUCGGGAGUGAAAACUCAGGGCUCAACCCUGAGCGCGCUUCCGAUACGGGCAGACUAGAGGUAUGCAGGGGAGAACGGAAUUCCUGGUGUAGCGGUGGAAUGCGCAGAUAUCAGGAGGAACACCGGUGGCGAAGGCGGUUCUCUGGGCAUUACCUGACGCUGAGGAGCGAAAGCAUGGGGAGCGAACAGGAUUAGAUACCCUGGUAGUCCAUGCCGUAAACGUUGGGCGCUAGGUGUGGGGACCUUCCACGGUCUCCGUGCCGCAGCUAACGCAUUAAGCGCCCCGCCUGGGGAGUACGGCCGCAAGGCUAAAACUCAAAGGAAUUGACGGGGGCCCGCACAAGCGGCGGAGCAUGCUGAUUAAUUCGAUGCAACGCGAAGAACCUUACCUGGGUUUGACAUAUACCGGAAAGCUGCAGAGAUGUAGCCCCCUUUUGGUCGGUAUACAGGUGGUGCAUGGCUGUCGUCAGCUCGUGUCGUGAGAUGUUGGGUUAAGUCCCGCAACGAGCGCAACCCUCGUCCUAUGUUGCCAGCACGUAAUGGUGGGGACUCAUAGGAGACUGCCGGGGUCAACUCGGAGGAAGGUGGGGAUGACGUCAAGUCUUCAUGCCCCUUAUGUCCAGGGCUUCAAGCAUGCUACAAUGGCCGGUACAAAGGGCUGCGAAACCGCAAGGUGGAGCGAAUCCCAAAAAGCCGGUCUCAGUUCGGAUUGGGGUCUGCAACUCGACCCCAUGAAGUCGGAGUCGCUAGUAAUCGCAGAUCAGC
rnacentral:rRNA from 1 species